AUGAUCACUCACCUAGAGUCAGACAUCCUGGACUGUGAAGUCAAGUGGGCCUUAGAAAGCAUCACUACGAACAAAGCUAGUGGAGGUGAUGGAAUUCCAGUUGAGCUAUUUCAAAUCCUGAAAGAUGACGCUGUGAAAGUGCUGCAUUCAAUAUGCCAGCAAAUUUGGAAAACUCAGCAGUGGCCACAGGACUGGAAAAGAUCAGUUUUCAUUCCAAUCCCAAAGAAAGGCAAUGCCAAAGAAUGCUCAAACUACCACACAAUUGCAUUCAUCUCACAUGCUAGUAAAGUAAUGUUCAAAAUUGUCCAAGCCAGGCUUCAGCAAUACGUGAACCAUGAACACCCUGAUGUUCAAGCUGGUUUUAGAAAAGGCAGAGGAACCAGAGAUCAAAUUGCCAGCAUCUGCUGGAUCAUGGAAAAAGCAAGAGAGUUCCAGAAAAACAUCUAUUUCUGCUGUAUUAACUAUGCCAAAGCCUUUGACUGUGUGGAUCACAAUAAACUGUGGAAAAUUCUCAAAGAGAUGGGAAUACCAAACCACCUAACCUGCCUCUUGAGAAAUCUGUAUGCAGGUCAGGAAGCAACAGUUAGAACUGGACGUGGAACAACAGACUGGUUCCAAAUAGGAAAAGGAGUACGUCAAGGCUGUAUAUUUUCACCCUGCUUAUUUAACUUAUAUGCAGAGUACACCAUGAGAAAUGCUGGACUGGAAGAAGCACAAGCUGGAAUCAAGAUUGCUGGGAGAAAUAUCAAUAACCUCAGAUAUGCAGAUAACACCACCCUUAUGGCAGAAAGUGAAGAGGAGCUAAAAAGCCUCUUGAUGAAAGUGAAACAGGAGAGCGAAAAAGUUGGCUUAAAGCUCAACAUUCAGAGAACAAAGAUCAUGGCAUCCAGUCCGAUCACUUCAUGGGAAAUAGAUGAGGAAACAGUAGAAACAGUGUCAGACUUUAUUUUUUGUGGCUCCAAAAUCACUGCAGAUAGUGACUGCAGCCAUGAAAUUAAAAGACGCUUACUCCUGGGAAGAAAAGUUAUGACCAACCUAGAUUGUAUAUUCAAAAGCAGAGACGUUACUUUGCCAACUAAGGUCCGUCUAGUCAAGGCUAUGGUUUUUCCUGUGGUCAUGUAUGGAUGUGAGAGUUGGACUGUGAAGAAAGCUUAG
rnacentral:lncRNA from 1 species